UACGUAGGCAGCGAGCGUUGUUCGGAGUUACUGGGCGUAAAGGGCGUGUAGGCGGUUUGUUAAGUCUGGCGUGAAAGCUCUCGGCUAAACCGGGAGAGGUCGUUGGAUACUGGCAAACUAGAGGACGGUAGAGGCGUGUGGAAUUGCGAGUGUAGAGGUGAAAUUCGUAGAUAUUCGCAGGAACACCAGUGGCGAAGGCGACUCGCUGGACUUGUGGUGACGCUGAGACGCGAAAGCGUGGGUAGCAAACAGG
rnacentral:rRNA from 1 species